GCGGUCACUGGGUGGCCUCCGCUGCUUCUGUGUCUUGCUCAGAGGGCUGCAACAUUUUGAAGGAAGUAAGGCCGCAUGCAUGCGCGCUGCUGCAGAAAACAGAAGUCGAAGGUGACAGACAAAGCGAGAGU